CCGGCCAGCUGCCUCCCUCCACCACAACCAACGGUGAACCCUACAAGUACACACCCAACAACAACAACAACCUGCCCUAUACGGCCGAGGCAGAGAAGCAGCACAAUACAAAGUACCCCGACAGAUACAACAACCACUACAAUCCCAACAAAAACAAUUACUACUACAACGGGAACAAGUUUGAGGCCAACCCUAAUGGCCUCAGCGACGCGAAGUUCGCUCAGAGCAGCUACACCACCACCACUGCCACCCCCAACAACUACCAGAGCAACAACAACAACUUUGAGGCCAAUCCUAAUGGCCUGAGCAACACGAGGUUCGCUCAGAGCAGCUACACUACCACACCCAGCAACUACCAGUACAACAACAACUUUGAGGCCAAUCCUAAUGGCCUGAGCGACACGAGGUUCGCUCAGAGCAGCUACACUACCACCCCCAGCAACUACCAGAACAACAACAACUUUGAGGCCAAUCCUAAUGGCCUGAGCGACACGAGGUUCGCUCAAAGCAGCUACA
rnacentral:lncRNA from 1 species